rnacentral:rRNA from 1 species
UACGUAGGGUGCGAGCGUUGUCCGGAAUUACUGGGCGUAAAGAGCGCGCAGGCGGUCGUUCAAGUCGCGUGUGAAAGCCCCCGGCUCAACUGGGGAGGGUCACGCGAUACUGAUCGACUCGAAGGCAGGAGAGGUGAGUGGAAUUCCCAGUGUAGCGGUGAAAUGCGUAGAUAUUGGGAGGAACACCAAUGGCGAAGGCAGCUUGCUGGGACGGUACUGACGCUGAGGAGCGAAAGCAUGGGGAGCAAACAGG